rnacentral:rRNA from 1 species
AACGAACGCUGGCGGCAUGCCUAACACAUGCAAGUCGAACGAAGGCUUCGGCCUUAGUGGCGCACGGGUGCGUAACGCGUGGGAAUCUGCCCUUUGGUUCGGAAUAACAGCUGGAAACGGCUGCUAAAACCGGAUGAUGACGAAAGUCCAAAGAUUUAUCGCCAGAGGAUGAGCCCGCGUUGGAUUAGGUAGUUGGUGGGGUAAAGGCCUACCAAGCCGACGAUCCAUAGCUGGUCUGAGAGGAUGAUCAGCCACACUGGGACUGAGACACGGCCCAGACUCCUACGGGAGGCAGCAGUGGGGAAUAUUGGACAAUGGGCGCAAGCCUGAUCCAGCAAUGCCGCGUGAGUGAUGAAGGCCCUAGGGUUGUAAAGCUCUUUUACCCGGGAAGAUAAUGACUGUACCGGGAGAAUAAGCCCCGGCUAACUCCGUG